rnacentral:tRNA from 1 species
GGGGAUUUAGCUCAGCGGUAGAGCGCUUGCCUAGCGAGCACAAGGACCUGGGUUCGGUCCCCAGCUCCG